AGUAUCUUCAAAGUAUAUAAAGAAGAGGUGAAAUAGAAACUCUCACAUAUAUCUGACCUGCCCCAGCCCUCCCCAGAAUUUGGAGAUGGACUUCUGGACUUGGGAACAUCUAGACUGCAGCAGAUAUCCUAACCAAGAAUCCCCAGUUGAUGGUGAUGCCUGACCUGAACCUGGAAGGAGUUACCCAGCUGCGGAGGUUAGAGAAAAGCAGGCCACACCAAGGGGGUGGAUGGCACGUGAAAAGGCAGGAAGCGUCAGGGUGCGGUGUGUUUGGAGAGCUGCAGUUACCAACUCUGGCAAGAGAGAAGAGUGGGGUCUGGGCCAGGGCAUAGCAGGGGCCUGGGUGCCGGGCCCAGAAUGGGCAGGGCCCUGGCCUCGGGCUAAGGAGGUGAAAUCUAUCUGUAAAUACCACACAACCCAGAAAUUCCACUCCUAGGAAUAGACGCAAAAGAGACGAAAACAGAUGUCCACACAAAAAUCUGUACACAAAUAUUCA